UACGUAGGGGGCAAGCGUUGUCCGGAUUUAUUGGGCGUAAAGAGCGUGUAGGCGGUUUGGUAGGUCCGUUGUGAAAACUCGAGGCUCAACCUCGAGACGCCGAUGGAAACCAUCAGACUAGAGUCCGGAAGAGGAGAGUGGAAUUCCUGGUGUAGCGGUGAAAUGCGCAGAUAUCAGGAAGAACACCCGUGGCUAAGGCGGCUCUCUAGUACGGUACUGACGCUGAGACGCGAAAGCUGGGGGAGCGAACGGG
rnacentral:rRNA from 1 species